UCAGUGGGUUUAGAACUCGAUCUUCCUUUUGUGAGAACAGACACUUUGUCUGGCUCUGAGGUUUUGGCUGCUGUUGCUGAAGAAGAGUGUGAAGGGGCACAAGCCUGCUCUGUACUGCUCAGUUCGGUUCGGUUCGGUUGGUCGCUGUUGCAGAGGAUACAUGGAUGUGUUGGUUUGGCUCUGCUUUUGUUAAAGGAACGAGCUACAGCGUCUUUGUGGUUCGUCGUAGGAAGUUUAAUCAGUAUGUGGAGAUGCACGUUGUGGUUUGUUUUACUUCUGCGGCUGACGCGCUGCUCCUACGACAAAGAGUAUCGGGAACCGGUGGCGAAAAGCAUUGGGAAAGAAGCAGAUUUGACUCCAGUUUGCAGCAAUUCCACCCGAAACCAAUCGUAUUUAUG